GACUUAACUUUUAAUUAAUACAGUGAUAUGAUUAGUAUAUAAUAUUAAUAAUAAUAGUUGUUAAAGAGUGAUGAAGAUAUAUGCAUAGAAAGAAGCUGGGUUUGGGCUUUACUUAUUAAUGGAUGUCUAGUGAGUUAACAACAGAUGUAUUUAACCAAUAAUUAGAAAACAAUUUAUUCAAAAAUAAAAUAUUGGGAUGAAGGCCUCAACCUUCCUUCUCAUGUUGGUGGAAGAGGUAUAUGUGGCCAAAAUUAUGUCAUCAGUGUGCUCCGAACAUUAAAAGUAUUUUAUUGAAAAAGAAAAUAUAUAAC
rnacentral:lncRNA from 1 species